AUAUAUAUCGUUGGUGCAUUAUCCUAGUGCACACUACUAUUAUGAGGGUGGGGCUAAAAAUCCACUAAAAGGCAUUAUACUUAUUGAAGUUUCUUAGAUAGUGCGCAUUACGCCCAGUUUUGCGUGCUCCUGAGGAGUAAAGGUUUUAGGAUAGAAUAUAAUGGCAUAUAUUUGAUUCCUUUUUCCGCUGAGGUUUGAGCAAUUCCGCUUGAGCAAAUUCUAUGUAAAUUUCAUUUCGUUUUUUGCAUAGUUCAUAAUGUCUGCCUUGAGUGAUAGUUUUGGGAAUUAGUUAUACGAAAUAAAAGUUAUUGGCCAUAAACUUUUAUGAAAGUGGCUAUGAAACAACUAUUGCAAAAAAGACUAGGAAUAGUUUAAAGUGUGUUCAAAGAAAAUUUCUAGGAUGUUUAUUCUAAUCAAAGAAUAUGAAAGUAUAAGGAUUAAGGUACGGAUUUUAGUGGCGAUCUAGCUCCUUUUACGGUGUUUUCUUUAAAUGGAAACAGCUAAUUAGUAAUGAUUAGUAGAAAACAGAGAAAUUCUGCUAGACCUAUACCGUAAAAUUUACUUAUGCUUUUACCAACUUUAUUUUUUAU
rnacentral:sRNA from 1 species